AUUACACUCAAUUUACCGUCAUCGUCGCCAUUUACCCACUUUACUAGUGCGAACAUGCUUGCUCCGUCUCUCUGUGCACCUUCCCAACUGAAAGUCAGCACGAAACGUGUGAUGAUUUCACUUCCUGUCGGCCAAAAAAUACGACGUCCAGAUAAAUACAAAUAAAUCGAAUAAAAAAGAAAUAUGAAAACCACGAUCCCUUUUAUGUUUCUAAUUAAUAAUUUGGCUAGAUAAAUAUAUAUUAUUUUGUUUCCUUUAGUGUUUUGAAAGCGAAUUUGUCAGACAACGGAACUGAAAGUAGGAGGAGCUGUGUGCGACGUCAAACACAGCAGCCAUAACGCACAUGAGCUGCUGUAGUGUUAACAUAAUGUCUUUCUCAUUGUUGGCUGCUUGUGAUUUAAGUAAUCCAUGCAAUGUACUUUUACACAGUUUUUUAGGCUGGCACGUGGGCUGUAAAUUAUGAGUGAUUAUAAUAAAAACGAUAUCACCACAGCACAGCGUGGCUACAAACGCUACCUGGCUGACCAAAUGGCUGUUCCAGGAAGAACACUUAGACGAUGGAAAAGGAUAAGGCAAGUAGCUUCACUAGUGUUUAAUUUAUUAAAGCUGUUCAGUCAUAAUACGAUAGUAUAUAUUCUAAACCUUUAUUUUUAUUUUAUAGGAACAAGGAACAAUCAAGUCAAGCAGAAACAACGUUGAGUAAAGUAUUUCAACCUAGGCUGUACAUAAUAUAGGCACAGUUAAAACCUGUUAAAAUGAUAGUAAAACAAGUGAAAUAACGAGAUCUACUAUUUGUUUUGUAGAAUAAAUAGAAAGCGCUACAAAUGAUUUAGGAUUAAUUCUGAAGGAAGUAGUUCAUUUUCAAACGGCCGUGUUUGGUAGUUGAUUGCACAUUACUGUGUGGCUUAUUCUGUGUAUAAUAUUUUUUGUACUUUGUUAAAUGCAAUUGAUUUACUGUUUAUGUGUGGGUGUGCGUCUGUAGGGUUCUUUAACACAUGACGAGAUUCGUACUGUAAGCAACACUGAAGAUGAUGACAGUCUAGAAACUGAUGAAGACGUUGAUGUACCAGAAUCCAGUAAUCUAUCAGAAGAACGGGAACCUGAAAUAACCCCAAGUGAACAGGAGAAUGCAGAUCUUGAGUCAAUUACCACGGAACAGGACAUUGAGAAUCCUGGCAGUGAACCUUUUCAUUCUCUUGAUGAAUCUACACAAGAAAAGUACCUGCAAGAGGAUGACAAAGUGUAUUCGUCUCAACAACAGAAUGGCCUGCUGCUCAUGGCAUUGAAAAUGAAGCACAAGCUUACCAAGGAAGCAGUCUCUGACAUGCUGGACAUUAUUAAUCUAUUGGCUGGUAAAGGCACUGUACCACAAUCUUGGUACCACUUAGAAAAACCGUUUGAAGGUUUAAAAUAUUUUGUAGAAAUACAUCAUGUUUGCAAUUUCUGUGAAUCUUACUUAGGUAAAGAAACGCACUUACUGUGAGAAAGAAUGGAUAGAGCAAAGGAGUCUGAAAGAAGGAAACUUUUUCUUUCAUUUGCCUUUACAUGCACAGAUCAAAGCAUUUUUAGAGGACCCUGAAUUGUCACAAAAGGUAGUAAGAAAUAGACAUGGCUUCCAGUCACAGACAUUCUGUGACAUAACAUUGUUUAUGCCAGCUGGUACACAGAUAGUGACCAGGCAUCCUGCAUUCCUUUUGCUAUGAAAAUGUUCUUUCAGAUCUUACACUGUAUAGAUAGGAACUCCCGUUCUCUCACCACGGCUAACUUGGUUCGAGGAACUACCGUUCCUUUCGAUUUAUGAAAAACGCCACAGGUACUAUUGUAAUAAUGUUGUAUAUAAAAGGCAGUUGUUAAAAUUCUUGUUAAAUUUUAGCCUCUGCUUAUACAUGUUUCAAACUACCAUGUGUUUUUUCUGUGCAAUGUAUUUGACCUACAAAUGUACAAUAAA